CUACGGAGGAUGCAAGCGUUAUCCGGAUUUAUUGGGUUUAAAGGGUGCGUAGGCGGUUUGCUAAGCGGGAGGUGAAAUGCCGGCGCUCAACGUCGGAAGUGCCUCCCGAACUGGUGGACUGGAAUGACUCUGCCGUGGGAGGAAUGUGUAGUGUAGCGGUGAAAUGCUUAGAGAUUACACAGAACACCGAUUGCGAAGGCAUCUCACGAAGGGUUGAUUGACGCUGAGGCACGAAAGCGUGGGGAUCAAACAGGAUUAGAUACCCUGGUAGUCCACGCAGUAAACGAUGAUGGCUAACCGCUGGUUUUUUCGGAUCAGUGGCCAAGCGAAAGCGAUAAGCCAUCCACCUGGGGAGUACGACCGCAAGGUUGAAACUCAAAGGAAUUGACGGGG
rnacentral:rRNA from 1 species